AAAGAUUAUUGGACAUAUUAUAUCACACAAUUUUUAUAUAAAACUUUGGAACUCUCCGAUAACAAGAUGCAUUUUGAUGAGGUUUCUAAUUUCAUUAAGGAAAAAAAAAUAAAAAGUUCUGAAGGUGUAAUCAAGUUAAUUGCAGAAGAAUGGGAGAAGAAUCAAGCCAAUGUCAAAAUUGUGAAUGACUGGCUUCAAGAAAAGGUUAUAUAGUAUUUACAACAUUCAACAAAGUUCAGCCCCUAAUUUGAAACGAUGUUUUUCAUGAAUGAUUUUACUGCGAAAAAUAUCAAAAUAACCUAUAUAUAUAUAAAAGUUAUAUUUUAAUGUUCUACAGAAUUUAAUAUUUCUUGAUAGUUAUUUAAAUUUAAUUUUCAAGCAACAAAUCUUAAAUAACUUCUAAAAAAUCAUUUUUUAAGAUGUUUUAUAUCUUAUUGUAAAGUUAUAUGGCUCUAUUUUAUGACAGUUAUGAUUAUUAUCAUCGUCAUUAAUAAUGAGAAAUGUAUUAUAAUGAGAAUGUUAAUUUUUUUUAACAUAAAAAUAUUUUUUUCGAGUAAGAAAAAGAUACACAAGAAAAAAUAUUUUCUUUGAAUCUGGAAAUUAUGUAACUAAAAAAUAUUUGUUUGUUUUAUUUCAAUAUUUAAUGGAGGUAAAUAACACUAAAUCAAGUAGAUGUAUAAAAAAGGUUUUAAAAAAAGAAAAUUUUUAAACUACAAAACAAGGAAUUUCGGAUUAUAAAAGUUAUUUUUAUGUUUCUCAAAAUAAAAGCAAUCAGGAAAACACCAUCUCAAUCCAAGGACGAAAGAAAUUGAUUUUUCUUUUAACUAUUCAUGAUUUUUUAAAUGCUUUGUUCCUUUGCUACGCUGUUUAAGGAAUGAGGCUCUUGUGUUUUUUUCUUUGAUUUAAUUGUAUCAUUA
rnacentral:lncRNA from 1 species